rnacentral:rRNA from 1 species
GACGUAGGAGGCAAGCGUUAUCCGGAAUUAUUGGGCGUAAAGGGUACGUAGGCGGCUGGUCAAGUCUGGGGUCAAAGGCCACAGCUCAACUGUGGGAAGGCCCUGGAAACUGACCGGCUAGAGUGAGGUAGGGGUUGCGGGAAUUCCCGGUGUAGCGGUGAAAUGCGUAGAGAUCGGGAAGAACACCUGAGGCGGAAGCGCGCAACUGGGCCUCUACUGACGCUCAGGUCCUAAAGCUAGGGGAGCGUAUGGG